ACAUAAGAACCUUACAUGUUGCAUACACCGUUUCUCGUACGAUCACCAAAGUUAAGCAACAUCGGGCGUGGUUAGUACCUGGAUGGGUGACCACCUAUAAAAGUUUAGACAUAGGAA
rnacentral:rRNA from 1 species